AAACACCCCCAUAAACCUCACCACUCUCAUUUCACACAACAUACUCCACUCCACACUCAUCCAUCCACCCAAUGUCUUACGUACCUCCACACCUCCGUAAGUCCGUCGCCGCCACCACCACCACCACCACCGUCACCGCCACUAUCCUCAACACCACCACCACCACCACCGCAAACCACAACCUCAACUCUAAAUCCGUUCACAAUGCAGCUACUCGCCGGAGCUCAUCCAACAACCACAUCCAACCGUCGCGAGCACUCGCCGUACCUAAUGCCGUGUUUCCGCGUUGGAAGCCUUCCGAACGCGUUCUACGCCUUAAACCGGAACAGAUAGAAGAGGUCAGAUUACGACUCAAUGUUGAUGUUACUGUGACUCCUGAUUCUCCUCCCGCACCUGCACCAAUCGAAUCGUUUACAGACAUGUGCCUGGACUCAAGCAUCAUGAAGGAUAUUGCGAUUCAUGAAUACACGACACCUACCUCUAUUCAGGCACAGGCGAUGCCUGUUGCACUAAGUGGAAGGGAUCUUUUAGGCUGUGCAGAAACAGGCAGUGGUAAAACUGCUGCUUUCACAAUACCCAUGAUACAGCAUUGCAUAGCUCAGCCUUCUGUUAGACGUGGAGAUGGUCCUUUGGCACUAGUGCUGGCUCCCACUAGAGAGCUUGCACAACAGAUAGAGAAAGAGGUGAAGGCGUUCAGCCAAUCGUUGGAGUCCUUCAGAACUGCAAUCGUUGUGGGUGGAACAAACAUUGCAGACCAGAGAUCUGAGCUUCGGACGGGAGUUGAAAUUGUGGUUGCUACACCUGGAAGAUUUAUCGAUCAUUUACAACAGGGGAACACAUCUCUCACACGGAUUUCAUAUGUCGUUCUGGAUGAAGCAGAUAGAAUGCUUGAUAUGGGUUUUGAACCUCAAAUACGAGAGGUGAUGCAUAAUCUUCCAGAAAAACAUCAAACACUAUUGUUUAGUGCAACUAUGCCAGUGGAGAUUGAAGCAUUAGCACAGGAAUAUCUAACGAAUCCAGUACAAGUGAAGGUUGGGAAAGUGAGUAGCCCGACAGAGAACGUGUCCCAAAACUUGGAGAAAAUUACCGAAAAUGAAAAGAUUGAUCAACUACUAUCUUUGCUUGUUGAGGAAGCUGUACUAGCUGAAAAAUUAGGCCACCAAUUUCCUUUGACUAUUGUAUUUGUGGAACGAAAGACAAGGUGUGAUGAAGUUGCAGAAGCUUUGGUAGCUCAGGGUUUGAAUGCUGUUGCUCUUCAUGGAGGCCGAACUCAGAACGAAAGAGAAGGUGCCCUGCGUGAUUUUAGACACGGGCCCACUAAUAUCUUGGUUGCUACUGAUGUUGCAUCUCGAGGCCUAGAUGUUACAGGAGUUGCUCAUGUAGUGAACCUGGACCUUCCAAAGACAAUGGAGGACUACGUGCACCGAAUCGGAAGGACAGGUCGUGCAGGAUCAACGGGCCGGGCUACUUCAUUCUAUACAGAUCGUGAUAUGUUCCUUGUAUCACAAAUAAGGAAAGCAAUAGCAGAUGUCCAAUCUGGGAACACAGUGGCUUUCGCCACUGGCAAGGUUAAAAAAUGGACGGAGUUAACGAGUCGGAUGAAAAUGGAAAGAUUUUAAACCUUUUGGAUCCGGAAGAACAAACCUUUGGACAGAAGUCGCACCUCAGGGACGAUAAUGGCAUUUUACUCACCUUCAAAAGGUUGCUAGAAGGAAGGAGAGGGAAGCAGCUGCUGCACACAAAGAAGCACAAUCAAAGCUCCCACCGACAUCUAUUAAUGUGGACGACAAGUACAAGUACAUGAUUGCACCUGCUGCAAUGCUAAGAAAAGAGGGUUCUGCUGAUGAUGCUUGGGACGAUUAAAAUCAUGCUAAAAGUUACGUUAAACUGAACCACGAAAAGGAAAAAAAUAAACCUGUUUUUGUCUACUUGAAUUAUAAUAAUAAGAUUUAGACGUCCGUUAGUAGAUGAUACAUACUGUAGGUUGUGUAUAAUUUGGAUUUUGAACUUGUUUUCUAGGACAUUUGACGACACAAAGCUUUGAAAAUACAAAAGCUGUUCAGUCUUGUCUUGUGUUA